GCGAUUCCGGCGGAGGAUGGGCAUGCGGCGCAUUAGCUUGUUGGCGGGGUAACGGCCUACCAAGGCGACGAUGCGUAGGGGUUCUGAGAGGAACCUCCCCCACACUGGUACUGAGACACGGACCAGACUCCUACGGGAGGCAGCAGUGAGGAAUAUUGGUCAAUGGGCGGGAGCCUGAACCAGCCAAGUCGCGUGAGGGAAGACGGUCCUAUGGAUUGUAAACCUCUUUAGGCGGGGAGCAAUGCCGGGCACGCGUGCCCGGAGGGAGAGUACCCGCAGAAAAAGCAUCGGCUAACUCCGUGCCAGCAGCCGCGGUAAUACGGAGGAUGCGAGCGUUAUCCGGAUUUAUUGGGUUUAAAGGGUGCGUAGGCGGAUUUUUAAGUCAGCGGUAAAAUGUCCGGGCUCAACCCGGGCCGGCCGUUGAAACUGGGGAUCUUGAGUGGGCGAGAAGUAUGCGGAAUGCGUGGUGUAGCGGUGAAAUGCAUAGAUAUCACGCAGAACUCCGAUUGCGAAGGCAGCAUACCGGCGCCCGACUGACGCUGAGGCACGAAAGCGUGGGGAUCGAACAGGAUUAGAUACCCUGGUAGUCCACGCAGUA
rnacentral:rRNA from 1 species